AGCUGUGACGUUACUCGCAGAAGAAGCACCGGCUAACUCCGUGCCAGCAGCCGCGGUAAUACGGAGGGUGCGAGCGUUUAUCGGAAUUACUGGGCGUAAAGCGCAUGCAGGCGGUCGAAUCAGUCAGAUGUGAAAUCCCCGGGCUCAACCUGGGAAUGGCAUUUGAUACUGUUCGACUAGAGUCCUUGAGAGGGGGGUAGAAUUUCAGGUGUAGCGGUGAAAUGCGUAGAGAUCUGAAGGAAUACCAGUGGCGAAGGCGGCCCCCUGGCAAGAGACUGACGCUCAGAUGCGAAAGCGUGGGGAGCAAACAGGAUUAGAUACCCUGGUAGUCCACGCCGUAAACGAUGUCUAUUAGGAGCUUGUGGCUUUAAGCCGUGGGUUCCAAAGCUAACGCAUUAAAUAGACCGCCUGGGGAGUACGGCCGCAAGGUUAAAACUCAAAUGAAUUGACGGGGGCCCGCACAAGCGGUGGAGCAUGUGGUUUAAUUCGAUGCAACGCGAAGAACCUUACCUACUCUUGACAUCCAGAGAAUUCGCUAGAGAUAGCUUAGUGCCUUCGGGAACUCUGAGACAGGUGCUGCAUGGCUGUCGUCAGCUCGUGUUGUGAAAUGUUGGGUUAAGUCCCGCAACGAGCGCAACCCUUGUCCUAUGUUGCCAGCACGUAAUGGUGGGA
rnacentral:rRNA from 1 species